GCCCGUGUGGCGGAAUGGUAGACGCUACAGACUUAAAAUUUGUUGCCCGAAAGGGCGUGGGGGUUCGAGUCCCUCCACGGGCACCA
rnacentral:tRNA from 1 species